CUACAACCAACUUUACAUUUGGAACAUGUGAUCGGUGGUGGUUUCUUUUUUGGAGAGUUGGAGCUUUAUGGACAAGGAGGACUUGAUGUAACAUUGCUGGGUACUACAGAGUAAGUAUUGUCAACGUGAACAAUAUUCAUUACAUUUUGUAAAAUCAAUGUUGUGUCAUUUCUGUCCUCGGUCAAAUGUCAGCAAACUUGCAUUAGGUAAAUAAAACCUUCAGAAGAUUUAGUAUCAUUGAGUUAUGUUUGUGACGGGGACAGCCAGUAAUGGUAUGGUAAUGGUAUGGUAUGUAGCAAAUAUAUUGGUCAACUUAUCUGCAAUACAGCACCAGGCUUAGCUCCGAGUACUCCUUUCCACGCCUCGACAGAUGUCACACUCACACUGUGUGCACGGUUUAUUUAAUAUAUAUAUACACACACCUGCACACUACAAAAUGAAAAGUAUUUGAUUGGACAUUUCUUAGUGGCUCUGAGGUUGCCUUUUUUAUGAAUGAGGAACUAUGGAUGGGUUUAGAGCCUCAGGCGACUACUCUAGCCAAUCAGUACCGCCCCUACCUGUCAGCAAACCAUGCUUCCUGAAACUCAAAUUCUGAAACUGGAUGCUCCUGGUGGAACUGAAGAUCCAGCACUGACGUCAACCUUUGGGGUUAAACCAUUUGAAAACUACUCAACCCCUCCAGGUAAGAAAGCACCCAUGGGCCUAGUGGCACCAUAACAACUUAAUUUAGAUGUAGUCGUUAUGGUGAUCAUAGUGUUACUUUAAGUGAGACUAGAGUAGGCAGUUAUGUUACCCUGUAUAAACACUCUAACACAGGGGUGUUAUUGUAUUACGGUGCCAAAACAAGAUCUUGCAGUUUCUUGGCCUGCCGGUCCUAAAUUUUAAAAUGAGGUGUGUAUUUAUAGGUGCUGCAGUUGUAACAUUGUAUUUGUGUGUAUGUGAGCUGUUAUACAAUAUAUGUAUAUACCUAUGAAUGUGGGCUGUGUAUGUGGACUGCAUGUGUAAUUGUGUGUGAGAGGCUGCUUGUGGGGUUGUGUGCGUGCACGUGGAUUUUCAGUAGUGUUGUGUUUGUAAAAACUGUAUGUGUGUGUGUGGGCUGUUUGUAAUAUUUGUAUGAGUGGGAGGCUUCUUCAGCAGCUCUGUGUAUAACAGUGUGAAUUGCUUCCCUGGGGUCCAGUGGGCUCCGGGAUGGGCAGGUACAGAUCAUGUACAUGAGCAGCGAUAGUUGCUGCAGGCUGCUCUACUCCAGUGCAAAUUCCCAUUCACAAGAGCUGAGAGAAAGUGAUCUGAGUUCACUUCCACUUCGUGCUGCAGAUGUCCUUCACCACCUGCAAUCACCACUGUUUGGCACUGGCACCCUAUGGUACAUAGGCCAUAGGUUGCUGACCCCUGCUUUAACAUAUUAGAGCAAAAUGUUUAGUAACUCAAAAUUACAAGAUCGCUGGGGAUUUUAUUCUAGUUUAUUGUUUACUUUAAGUUUUCUAUGAAAGAGAGCUCUGAGGUUUAAAAGUGUUUGUUACACAGUUUAAUGAUGUACAGAAAACUGAUUUUUAUUAUCUACCAUUUCAUUUGUUUGUUCAAUAUUCAUAAUGAGUCGAUUUCGAACCCACUGAUUUAUAUUUUUUAUUUCCUUACAGAAUAAGCUUGGCAGGACAAUGUGCUAUUUAUGGAGAUUUACUGACAAGCAUUUACAGCGAGGUAUGUUAUAUUGUUGAGAACACUGCCUAACGGGGAAAUUGUGGUGAUUAUGUGUGUCUUGGUUUAUGUGGUGAUAUGUGCAUGUGUGUUAUUUAUUGCAUAUACUGUUUCUAUUUUUAUACACACAUCUUAUUUAUUAUAUUAUAUAUAAUACCCAAUUGACUUAUUCAGAAGGUGUAAUUGCCAUUUUCAAUAAGGUAUGUUAUAUUGUUGAGAACGUUAACACAGACAUGGAAAGACAGGGUAGGCAAGGUAAAAUUUCCUACAAGCAUGUAUUCGAAAAUCUACUCCUUUUAGGAGACUAACAAAACAGAGGUAUUUUCUUUCUAACAAUACACAAAACAAUAAUUAAACAGCACAAAGCUUUUUUUUUUUACCACCCAGGCUUAGUUUCACACUCUCUCUGUGUCUGUCAGGAGCCUAGUGAGAAAAUCUCAGCAGGCUAAAUAAGGCUGGGCAGUGUGAAUAAAAGAAACAAUACAGUCAUCAAAACAGCUUUUUGUUUUGGUGUAUAUAUCAUGCCCCUGCAGAGUCACUGCUCAAUUAUCUGUCUUUUAGAAGUUGACACUUUGUUUGUGCAGCCCUAGGCAUACCUCCUUGCAUGUGACUUACACAGCCUUCCUAAACACUUCCUGUAAAAAGUCAUCUAAUGCUUAAACUUCCAUAAUUAGAAAUUCUGUUUAAUUUGCAUUUUUUUUUAUCUCCUGUAAGUGCAUAUCUUUGGCAAAGUGACUGUGACAGAGUGAGUGUGCCAGGGUUACUGUGCCAGUAGAUUGUGUGUACUGACUGCUGCUCACCUUUUUAUUGCAGUAAGGAAGGCUUUAAUAUUCAUCCUUUGAUGGUCCAAUGGGCUGCCAGUAGGAUCUACACCAUUGUUGAGUGCCAACUCCUCUGUAUGCCCCCCUUCUAGUCUCUGACCAGGACGGAGCAUCUGCAGAGAGCUGCUCCGAGCCAGAGGUGCAGUCUGCACCGUCAGCGAGUGCAAUCCUGGGCAGGGAGUUCUGUAGAUUUCCCUACCGGUCAGUGCAGCUUGUGGGUCUCAGUAGAGCCGGCGCUAGUAGAGUAAAGCAGAGUAGAGUCAGCUUUGCUGUCUUGGCUAUAGCAAACAAAAUUAAUUAACAAUAAAUUAAUUGAAUUUAAAAUAGUUCAAAUCGUGUAUAUGUUACAGUUAAAGUGAGAAAUCAGUUAAUGUGUCCAUUACCUAGUUAAUCUGCAGAUUAACUGAUUUGCUCAGUUAAAGUGCGGAAUCGAGAGUUUUCCGCACUUUACCUUGGUAAUGUGCACAUUAACUGCUUCGGUCUAGUUAAAGUGCAAAAUGUUUGUUUUGGGUAAAGAUUAUUUAUUACAAAACGUCCUUGUAGAAACCUGUUUCACCCUUUUUCAGUGUAAAAGUUUGUUUCUUUCCCUCGGUAAAGAGGAAAUUAUUUAUUACAAAACAUCCUCGCAGCAGAACCUGUUUCACCCUUUCAGUGCAGUCUCUGCAGAGUCGUUCACUUCUCGUCUGAAUGCAGAAAGAUUCUGUGUGAACCUGUCUGGAUUCUUUUGUGAGCAAGUUCCUUUUUAAUGCCUUCCAUUCGAAUUCUCAAAGCAUAGACGCAUGGCUUGUUGCUUCUCAGAGGGGGCUGGUUACUAACAACAAUGCUGCUCCGUAAGUCCGAGAAAUACUUCUCAUUGAGGAGAAUGAGACGAAGGAGAGGUCUGCUCACGGACCACUGAUUCCGACAGUCCUUCAAAUAUGAUGAUGAUAUUGAGAACAGCGGAGAGCAUCUGCUGGAUCCUUUCAGGGUGGUUGCUGCAUAAUGUGCACGAAGGCGCUCGCUCUCUUGUGGUGGUGGGGGACUCCUCGUUUCUUACCAGUUCUGGAUAACUGUUUGAAGAGGAGGUAUGUGAAUGUGGUUUAGAAAGGUUUAGAAAAGCAAGCAAAGAAAAUGUUAGCAGUUUCGAAUGCAAAGCAGCCAAAUGUCGAUGAAGGUGUCACUGUGAGAAUUAAAGUACCCGAAGUGGACAGAGCAAAAACUGAUGCCCGCUCGAUUUUUAGCUGUGGUUCUUAGUAAAACAGAGGAUGGCUUUUAUAAACUUGGUACUAAAACGGGUAUUUUGAAACAAUUGUAUGCCAAAUCGGAAUUCGGUGUUUGCAAAGAGAGAUUUUUAAAGAAAGAAGAUGUCUCUGCUGUAGAAAUAUCUUUACGUCAAACAGUAAUCAAACAAUCCCUUGGUACUAGGCAGGGUUUCCGAAAAUGUGACUGCAAAUUGAAAAUGUACCACAAAUAGGUGUGCUUGUCGCAAAAAACAAUUGCCAUGUAAUUCAAAGUGUCGCCAAUCUUUAGAUUGCACUAAUAAGUAAGCAUAGUUUUAUAAUGUGUUUGUUUAGCAAAUUCAUGUCCUUAAUCGUUUGAUUCUUUCUAUUGCAGUUUUGUAACAGAAACUUGCUUCUUUGUUGCUAAAUAAAUAACAUUAUAUUAACUUGAUUCUUGUUUGAUUGUACUAACUUGCUUCUUAAACGUUGCUGUUGUUCCAGCAAAAGAUCUUAUUUCGCACUUUAACUAGUGCCUAGUAGUUAAUGUGCAGAUUAACUAGGUAUUGUGAGAAAUCUUUGAGAAAUUAAAAAUGUUCUGCACUUUAACUGAUCAGCCUACUUAAUGUGCACAUUAACUAGGUAAUGUGCACAUUAACUGAUUUCUGCACUUUAACUGUAACAUAUACAUGAUUGAGGGGUAUGGCUGAAUCCACUCAUAAUCAUGUAUGGAUGCAGCAGGUAUAUAGCCAAAGGACUAGAAAAUUAGGAGAAUUAAAAUAAUUAAUGGAAAAAAGAAAGAAUAAGAAGUACAUAUAUUAUUAAAAUUACAAUCAGCUUUUUUUGCAAUACUACAUACAUAACUAAUAAUGGUGCUAACUGUAAAAAAAAAAAAAAGCUGAUUGUAAGGUCCCUUUUUCCAUUUUGCUUAUUAUUUUGUUUCCUAUCCUCAUCACAAAGACUGUCUUCCUCAUCCACAAAUAUAGCUGUUUUGACUUAUUCAGUUUUGAAGUGAGUUGUAAGCAAUCGAGUUGUGACAUUAUGACAUUUAGUGCAAAGUUGAAAAUUCUAAAACAUCUGUCAUGUUAAAAGAUGUUUUAUUUUAACUUUUUUAUUUGGCCAUUGUGGAAUCAAUUGUACAAUUCUCACAACUACAGUUCACAACAUAUAACUACACUAAAUAAAAUUAUAAACGCAACACUUUUGUUUUUGCCCCCAUUUUUCUCAAAGAUCUAAGACUUUUUCUAUGUAUUCAAAAGGCCUAUUUCUCUUAAAUAUUGUUCACAAAUCUGUCUAAAUCCGUGUUAAUUUUAGAGUCGUCUUUUAUUGUGGCCAGCCUAAGGCACACCUAUGCAAUAUCAUGCUGCCUAAUCAGCAUCUUGAUAUGCCACACCUGUGAGGUGGAUGGAUUAUCUCAGCAAAGGAGAAGUGCUCACUAACAGAUUUAGACAAAUUUGUGAACAAUAUUUGAGAGAUAUAGGCCUUUUGUGUACAUAGAAAAAAAGUCUUAGAUCUUUGAGUUCAGCUCAUGAAAAAUGGAGGCAAAAACAAAAGUGUUGCGUUUAGAAUUUUGUUCAGUGUAUGCAAAAAAUAAUACAAACUGAAGAAAAUAAUGCACACCAAACCUACUACUAACGAAGUCCAAAAAUUCUAUUUCUAUAAACUUCCAGUAACUAUAAUAGUUACCUUAUGGGGCGGAUCUAAACAGAAUUCUUAUUAAUAUUCAAUUUAGAUAUCUCCUCUGUGAGAUUAAUUGUAUUUCAAAAAAGAUAUGUAAAAAGGCAUAAACUAAAAAUAUACUAAAUAAAUAAAGGAAAAAAUUAUAUAGGGAAAAAACAUACACAUCUAGAAAAGUACUCAUAAAAUUAAAGUGUAAUUCAAAUUAUUAUACACGGAAAGGCUCUAAAGGUAGGAUAGAGUCAUUGCUAUUUAAAAUGCAAUAUUUAGUCAAUAGGCAAUAUAAAGGGAGUGGAGCCUAGCUUCCAUGCAGAGCAGACAUGUUGAGACCAAGCUCCUGAGAAUUUGGGAGCCAAUUCCAGCUACUCAACAAUCACACUGUCACGAUUCUGGAACCUAACACGCUAACAGGAAAUAGAGAGGAAAGGUGCUAUACCGGUCCUUAGAGUGGCCGGGCUAAGCACACUAAGAAUGGUCAGGAGACAAGCCAAGUAAAGGGAGCCAGGAAACGAGAGAAUGAGAAACAAGCCGAGGUCAAAGGAGUGGAGAAUACAGGAUAAUCGGAAUAACAAGCCAAAUAAUCGGUAACCAGAGAGAAACACGAGCAAACUGCAAUGCAGGUAUCACAAGACCACAACAGGGCACUGAGAGACAGGAAAGGUAAGUAUAAAUACCCUUUGCUUAAUUCUGAUUGGAUAACUUCCAAUCAGAAUUAACAAUCACACAUGGGAGAUAUCUACGUCUCCCACUGUGAUUGUGGUACUGUUGCUUUAACGCCGGGUCACAUGCUGCCGCUGGGAGGCGUGGAGGAUGCGAACGGCGAGUGGUGGAGAGGAGACGCCGCUCGCCGACAGGUAGGCGAUGGACAGAGGGUGAGUGCUGCAAGUGGGGGGCAUCUGAGUAAUCAUUCUGACACCUGUUUCAUGCAUGUACCCAGCCGGGGACCCGAAUUACUCUGCUACGGCCUACUAGGGACUGAGCCAGGGAGAGGCGGCCGCUCUCCUCACUUGCAAACUCUCUUACUGAUCCUACAGCACUCCUACCCUCCCCCGUCUAGACCGGUGGGCAUAUCCCGGUCCCCGCUGGAUAACUGAGGCUGUCUACCUUAACUGAAUCCUGAGCCAUGUGCAGAAAGGUAAGGGAGCUUCUCCCAUAUGGAGCAAUAAAGAUGACGACUGCGCUUCUAUGCCUGAGACCUUAUCACAACACGACUGAAACUACCCGGUAAUGUCUAGAUAUUAAAUUUUUUAAGAUUUUGGGAAAGAAUACAAAUACACACGCUGGCAGUCUGGAUUGAGCAGCAGGAGCACUCAGAGACACUACCAACAAACCACCUACCUAUGCCAGGCGAUCGGAGAAGCAGUUGGCAGGGAGUGGAGGGGCCCCUAUCGGGCACAGCACCCGUACACUCACCUACUCUCCCUUUCAUUCGCCCAUGCGGGGUGAAGACCUCAAGGGUCAUGAAUCAGGCGCGUCACCCACGACAGCGGAGGUCCGCACGCCACAAGUGGCAACUGACCAUCAAGUCCUCCUGCAAAAAACUUGGGCUCGGGGUGUGGUUAAUUUGUUAACUAUGUGUGGGCUAGGAACAAUAGAUGCCUCUGAUAUUUUAAACUGUUAUCUUAGCAGAAACGUUACAGAAGCUAGUUACCCCAUAUAUGUUAAGAUAUGACUAAGCUUAGGAGUCAAGUACGGGUUCCGUGUGUGUAGGGGGGUGGGGAGUAGGUCAAUGGGACUAGAAAUUAACAUUAUGUCAGUGAGACAGUAUUCAAAUGGUGCCUGGUAGUGGCACGUAUGAAUGCUUUGCCCAUUCAAAAAAAAAAAAAAUGAAAUAAAGGUUUGGCCGUGGGAUCCAACAUUAUAUAGUAAAGCUCAAUAGAACUCAUGAAAAAAUAAAUGAGUACAUAAACAAACUAUAAAGAAAUUGAUAAACAAAACGGAAUAGUAAGUCAAGGCACUGGAGCAGGUGACGAUAACUCCCUGCAGGCUGCUGGCACAAAUGGUGUAAUCCUCUCUGGGUCCCAGGAGGUAGUGUCGCUGGCGAGGGGGUAGUCGGCCCAGAGGCUUGCUGUAAUGCUCAGUCCUUAAUAAGAACAAAUUAAUUCCCAGAGAGCAGAAUUAGAAUCCCUUGCUUCCCAAAUAACUAAAGGUAAGAACCGAUAAUAUAUCGCAGAAUGGGAGAACUGAGCAUAGAGUCCUUUUCAGAUAAUGCGGAUUACGGUUCUUUGCAGUACGAGGAGAAGGCAGGACUCUGAGUUGUAGCUGUUCCUUUUUCAGGGAGAAUAGAAUUAGCGUUGUCAGAAUCAAGCCACGGUUCGGUACACAGAAUCCAGAAGAGACGCUCCAUCGACAAAGUAGGUAGUCGAGAUGCACAACGACUGGAAACAUAUUAUUAUUAUCAUUUCCAUUUAUAUAGUGCCAUCAGAUUUCGUAGCACUUUACAAUAUUAUAAGAGGGGGAAUUUAACUAUAAAUAGGACAAUUACAAGAAAACUUACAGGAACCAUAGGUUGAAGAGGAUCUUGUUCAAUCGAGCUUACAGUCUAUAGGAGGUGGGGUAUAACACAUUAGGACAGGAAAUAGCAAUCAAAUAAGAUGGGAGUGAAGCAGAGCUGGAGGAGAGAGUAAAGUGCUGCCCUUUAGGAGAGAGCAAGAGGCAGGUAUGGGAGGCCAUAAGCUUUCCUAAAGAGAUGGGUUUUAAGGCACUUCUUAAACGAUUGAAGACUAGGGAGGAGUCUGAUGGUGGUAGGAAGGCUAUUCCAUAGAAAGGGAGCCGACUGCGAGAAGUUCUGCAAGCGUGAGUUGGCCGUACGGGUGUGGGAAGUGGACAGGAGAAGGUCACGGCAGAGCGUAGAGACCGAGAAGGGGCAUACCUAUGGAUCUGUUAAGAGAUAUAAGAGAUGCUAGAAUUGUUCAGUGCUUUAUAGGUAUGGGUUAGCAUUUUGAUUGACUACUAAAGGAUACAGGAAACCAAUGUAAGGACUGACAGAGUGGUGAGGUGUAAGAGGACCGAUUACAGAGGAAAAUCAGUCUGGCUGCAGCAUUCAUUACAGACUGUAGCGGGGCAAUAUGGCAUUUGGGAAGACCAAUUAGAAGAGAGUUACAAUAAUCCAUGUGGUAAAUUAUUAGAGCAUGAACAAGCUCCUUGGUAGCAUCUUGCAUAAGAAAGAGCCAGAUGCAGGCUAUAUUUUUAAGAUGGAAUCUAUGGGAUUUGGCAAAAUACCGGAUGUGAGGCUCAGUGGUAAGGCCAGAAUCAAGUAUGAUGCCAAGACAGCGUGCGUGCAAGGAUAGACUUUUGUGGGUAUCACUAAUUUAAAGGGAGAGCAAAGAGAAUGAUCAGUAUUAGGAGAAGGAAAGACAAGGAGCUCAGUUUUAGAGAGAUUGAGUUUCAGAAAGCAGGAGGACAUCCAGUCAGAGAUGGAAGAAAGGCAAGCAGUGACACGUUGAAGGACGGCAGGGAAAAGGUCCGGGGAGGAGAGAUUUAUCUGGGUGUCAUAAGCGUAGAGGUGGCAGUGGUACAUAUGUAGCGUAAAGCACACAAAACAUUUAAUUAGUCCUUUAGAUGUGAAUGCAGCUUCCUUUUGAAGGGAAGCACGUGACGUCAAAUGCAUGGGCGGAGUCUGAUCGGCGAAACCCAGAAGUGACAAGGGUAUUGCCGAUCAGGCCGAAAACAACAUGGAGAAAUGCUGAGAGUAAAUGGAGGGAUCCUGACACUUGCAUUGCCAAGCCAAGUUGUUGGAGGGCAUAUGUGAUCUCAGAAGUGUCUCCGAUCCGCUACGAUGAUGUCAGGUAGGUCGCGUAGUUUAAUAUUUUUCCAGUGCCGCUUAUCUUCUAGAACAGCAAUGCGGUCCUGGUUUUGCUUAUGAGACUGCUGUAUAGUAGAUAGUUGCUUCUCCAAAGUGGCAAUGCGAGUCUUGUGGGCUUCUGUGUUCAGCUCCGUGUUGUGGAGUCGGGCUGAGACUCCAUUGAUUUCCUCGCGAAACUGGCCAAUGUCGGCCGUGAUAUUGAGGCGUGGUUCAUCUAAGAGGCUCCGCAGAGUGUCUUCAGUCACCGGAGGUUUGUUGACUGGUUUGGAGUUGAGUGAGGGGUUCUACCCUCUGGUUUCACCCAAUGAUCUGUUUUUAUUAGUAGGGACUCCUCCCUGGAAAUGUGUGAGAGUCCAUCUGACAGAGGCACCAUGACAGGCCUCUGCAAGGAUAGCGACCUCCACAGCAAAUCACCUAUGUCGGCUGUCAUCUGUGGGUGGUCAGGCUUAUAUUUUCUUGCUUCGGCGCCUCAUGUCAACAGGUAGGUAUCUGCAGCAGUUAGUGCAGAUAAAACUUGAAUUUCCUUGUGUUUUCAGCUGUAUUUGUGGAAUCUCACUCAGAGCUCUGGUAAUGUGCAACCAGGCAGUUUAACUGCUAGCUACGCCCCUCCCUCCCUCCCUCCCCCUCCCAUUCCCCUGACAUAUACCAAUUAUUUAUACAUCUUCUAUUACACCUUUAUUUUAUUUUUAUUUUAAAGAAUUCUGUCUAAAUCUACACUGUAAGGUAUCUAUUACAGCUACUGGCGAUUAUAUACAAAUAUAUACUUUUUGGACCACAUUGGUAGUAGGUUUGGUUUAAAUUGUUUUCUUUGGGUCACAACCAAUUUCUUUAUAUGUAGAGAACAAAUAGCAAUAGGUCUCUGAUUUCAGUUAUUUAGUGAAUACAUUAAUAAUAGUAUUUAGUUUGCAGUUGUAUGACCUUGAGAUUUUGGGGUAAAAUAAAAAUAAAUCUAAAUUCAAUAUGCAACUCUGAUAGAAAGAGUACAUUAAAUAUAUUAAAAUGAUUCUGUCUUCCUCCCUUUAGUUGGUUGAUCAAGCACAUGUUUGGUGCACAAGCAUUGAGAGUAACCCA